GUUGCUGUUUAUUUCUUCAUUUAUUUAUUUUCCCAUUUGUAAGACACUGGGUUAGUUGUGUUUCCUGUAAUUUUAUUUUGAAAAGCUACAUGAGCUGCUCUGCCAGCCACACCCUUGAUUUGAUGGAUACAAGCCAGGUGUGAGGAACACAGAACCUGGAUGAAGUGCUAACAAGCAGACAGCUAAUGGACUGCUAAAGAACUAACUAGUAAAAGGACUUAAAGGAAACUAGUAAAAGGACUUAAAGGAAGAUGGAUUCCCUUUGUGUUUUAAGCAAACAGCCAACGAGGUAUUUAUUUGUCUUUAUUUUAUUGCACAUUAUUGUAUAUGUUUUAAUUGUACUAUCCUGUAUUUAGUUUCACGGUUUAAGAGAGGUCUAAAGAAAGGAGGACAGAAGAGGUCCACAAUGAAAAGACGUCCAAUAAACCCGUAAAAGAAAUCACUUGCGUCUGUGUUGCUUGGAGGGAAUCACAGUGAAACUCGCCUGUUGUCAGCAAACGCCAGUGAAGCAACAAGGACCAGAUGAUCUUCAUCUCUUGGACAACAGUGCAUGGACUGGCAGAUAAGUGGCCUAUUCACACAUAAUUGAAGAAGACAAUAAAGACUUUUGGUGGAAGACUCUUUUGCAACAAGAAACUUGGUUGAUGAAAAGAUUGCUGAUCCAAAUUGAUGUUACCAGUGAUUUGUUUGAGUACAUAUUGAACUGAAACUUGCUUUAUUGUUGCAUGUUAUCCAAAGGUCAAAGGAAAUGUAAUUUGUUGCAUAUUUAAUACUUGAAAGGUCAAGGUGUUUCAGUAGAGUGUAACAAUUGAGUUUGAAAUUCUAAGCAAGUUUAUUUCAUUCUUAAAAUCAACAUUUCCUAGCUAGAUAAUUGUUCAGCCAUGUCAGAAAGAAAUGAGCCUGCAGAUGAGGAUGAAGAUAGUGCAGAGCCACUGCGAGAGGAAGAGCAGCUGCUCAGACGUGGGGCACGCCAACGUACUCUAACAGAGAAGGGCAAGGCACUACAAGAAGAGAAAAUUAAAGCUCUUACACAAAGAUUUAACUACAUUUACAAAAAAUGGAAAGCACAUGUUAAAUUCUUUAAACAUUCGUCAAAACAGUCCUCAGAGCCUUUAUCAGAGGGUCUACUUAAUGAUAUCUUGGGGGAGGUUAAAGGGCUUUGUGCAGAUAUCCAGCGUGUUUAUGAAGAUCUGCGUAAACUCUCAACUCCAGAUCAAGAAACACGGAGAAGAGUAGAUUUGUGUGUGGAGAUUUCAAACUUCAUCCUUUCUAAAGCUUCACGUCACCUGGAAGGACAAGCGCAGGAAGAGGAGCAGGUUUGGCCAGAAGCUGGCUCCUUUUGGAGCACAAGUAAAAGUGAAACAGAAUCCAUCACCUCCGUCAUGAAGAGCGCCACCUCUGAGCAUUCAAAAACUUCUUCAGUAAAGAGGCAAGAAGCAGCUGCGGACGCUGCAGCAAGCCAAGCUGUUCUAAAAGUGUUAAAGGAACAAGAAAGAGAACAGUUGGAAUUACAGCGCCUGGAAGCAGAAGCCAAGAAGAGGAUAGCAGCUCAAGAGGCAGCAGCUAAACAGCGGCGCUUAGAGCAAGAGGAAGAAGAGGUGAGGAGGAGAAAAAAGAAAGAAGAGGAAGAAGCUACAAUGACAGCUAAAGUAGAAGAAGAACACACAGCUCUACAAAUGGCUCUAGAAGAGAAACGAAGGAGAAUCAACCAUCUAGAAACCAUGAAAGAGCUCAGCGCUGCACAGGCAAGAAUGCAGGUAUACGAUCAAGGAUCUGACAUUAAGAAAGGGGUCAAGCGACCUAUAAGCCAUAAGAUGGCAGUACAUGUUAAGCCAUCAAGUCAAACAAGCUGUCAACAAUCAUCUAUACCCUUUGUUCCACAACAACUUCUGAGUUCUUCCUCAAACCAAGACACUGCAGGUUUAGUUAAGCUACUUGCAGAUGCUUUAAAUGCAAACAGAAUUCCACUACCCGAACCUUCAAUAUUCAGCGGGGAUCCGUUGAAAUACAGUGAUUGGAAGCUGUCGUUCCAAACCUUGAUUGAUCAAAAGAAUAUUCAGAAUAAAGAAAAGAUAUACUACCUUCGUAAAUAUGUUGGUGGACAAGUUAAAAACGCACUAGAUGGUUAUUUCCUGCUUGGAACCGAGUCUGCCUAUGUUUCAGCGUGGGAGAUCCUGGAGGAGAGAUAUGGAAACCCAUUUACAGUUGCAACAGCAUAUAGGGAUAAACUUCAAGCAUGGGCCAAGAUUGGACCUAAAGACAGCACCGAUCUAAGAGAGUUUGCUGAUUUUCUACGGAGCUGCGAAGCCGCCAUGGUUCAUAUCAAGGCACUGGAGAUCCUAAAUGACUGCAGUGAAAACAGAAAGAUUCUGGCAAAGUUACCUGAUUGGUUAACUGCAAGAUGGAACCGAAAAGUGAUGGAAAUGGAAGAGGAGAAUGGCCAGUUCCCUUCUUUCAGUCAGUUUGUAAGAUUUCUGACCAGAGAAUCAAAAAUCGCUUGUAAUCCAAUAACAUCAUUGCAAUCAUUAAAGCUAAGUGAUAAAUCCAAACAACAAAAUGUCAAAGUCAAAACAUUAGUCACACGUUCUAAUGAAGAAACUAUCAACAUAUGUGUUUUUUGUAAGAAGCAUGGACAUACUUUGCACACAUGCAGAAAGUUUAUGCAAGAUGAAGUCUCAGACAGAGUUAAAUUUGUCAAGGCUGAAAAGUUGUGUUUUGGAUGCCUCAACUCAGGUCAUUUCUCAAAGAGCUGCAACUGUAGGAGUGUUUGUAAUAUAUGCAAUAAGCAACAUCCUACUUGUCUGCAUGAAGAGCGAGACAAAAGAGAACAAAGGGCAGCACAAGUUAAGCAAAGUCAAGUUCAUGAAACUUUUACUCAAGGAAAUAAUAAAGUCAACCCACAAACAAGGCUAGCAAGAGACAUUGUCACAGCUUCUACCUUCAAGGUCAAUCAAAUUGAAGCUACUUUCCAAACAGCUGCAAUAAUUCCAGUUUGGCUUUCCUAUGCUUCACAGCCAGUUCCGGAAGUGCUUGUUUAUGCACUACUAGAUUCUCAAAGUGACACAACAUUUGUGCUAAGCGAUGCAGCUGACUCUUUGGAGGCACCCAAGGAACAAGUGAAGUUGAAGCUUUCUACAAUGACAUCACAAACUACUACAGUAAGGUCUCAACGAGUAAAUAAUUUACGAGUUCGGGGUUUCUACUCAAAUAAAAGAAUCAAUUUACCACCAGCCUACACACGCGAUUUUAUUCCUGCCAACAGAGCUCACAUACCAACUGACAAAACUGCAGAGGCUUGGUCCCACCUAGAGCACCUGAAGUAUGACAUAGCACCCCUACAGGACUGUGAGGUAGGCCUGCUUAUUGGCUACAACUGCUCACAAGCCUUUCUACCAAGGGAAGUUGUGUCUGGUCAAGACAAUGAGCCCUUUGCUCAACGCACAGAUCUUGGAUGGAGCAUUGUUGGUCAUAGCAAUCCCUGUGUCAAGUAUGGAGAUGCAAUAGGAGUUAGUCAUCGUAUAGUUGUCCGUCAAGUGAAACCAAAGGUUGACUCUGCUCUCAAUCUAAAGGGUGAAGUUCACUAUGUGAACAGAUCAAAGGUUAAAGAAAGGAAAUCCAACUUGUUCUCAGGACCAACAUUUCUCUGGCAAAAUGAACUACCUGCUUCUAAAUACAAGAUAGAAGUACAAGAUGAUGAUCCUGAACUCCGCAGGGCUUCAGUGUUUAACACAAAGGCAAAGGAGAGCAGAUCACUUUUAGAGCGCUUUGAGAAGUUCUCUGACUGGUCAAGAUUGGUGAAAGCUGUUGCCAGAUUGAAGAGACGAGUCGCGGAACACAAAAGGUUGAAACAAAGAACCAAUGAGGGAACAAGCUUGGAGGAAAGAAAAGACGCAGAAAUUGCUAUUGUCAAGCUGGUUCAAAGGGAAGCAUUUCCAGAUGAGAUACAAAGCUUAAAGGCAAAGGAAGGUGUGGUUAAAACCAAGUACAGCAAGCUGAAAGGGUUAAAUCCCACCUUGGAUGAAGAUGGAGUUUUGAGAGUAGGAGGACGUUUAAAUCAAUCAGCGUUACAUCCUCACAUAAAACAUCCAGUAAUACUACCAAAGAACAGCCAUAUAUCCUCUCUGCUUGUCAAGCAUUUUCAUGAAAGGAUUCAUCAUCAGGGACGUGGAAUGACCGUAAAUGAACUCAGAGCAAAUGGAUGGUGGAUCCUAGGAAGCAGUGGCAUUGUAUCAUCACACAUCUUUAAAUGUGUUAAGUGUCGAAAGUACCGAAGAUGUACUGAAACCCAAAAGAUGGGUGACUUACCUCAAGACAGAAUGGAAACAAUGCCUCCAUUCACCUACACUGGCAUGGAUUGCUUUGGACCAAUCUAUGUAAAAGAGGGAAGAAAAGAGGAUAAAAGGUAUGGACUUCUACUCACCUGUUUAUGUUCAAGAGCCAUACACAUCGAAAUGCUUGACGAUAUGACCACUGACGCAUUCAUCAAUGCAUUAAGAGCCUUUAUUGCCAUAAGAGGAAAUGUCCGUCUACUUCGAUGUGACCAAGGAACCAAUUUCAUUGGUGCAAAAAGGGAGCUUGCAGAACUCAUAAAAGGAAUGGAAGAAGAAAGGGUCAAAACUCUAAAAUGUGAAUUCCUAAUGAAUCCCCCAGCAGCAAGCCACAUGGGUGGGAUCUGGGAACGACAGAUUAGGACUAUUCGAAGUGUUCUCACAAGCAUUCUUGACAAUUCAGCUCAAAGACUGGACAGUUCAUCUCUAAGAACUUUGUUUUAUGAAAUAAUGGCGAUUGUCAAUAGCCGACCGCUUACAGUUGAGAAUUUGAAUGAUCCAUCUGCACCUGAACCUUUAACUCCAAAUCACAUUCUUACAAUGAAGUCAACAAUUAUUCUUCCUCCACCUGGGCAGUUUGUCAAAGAAGACCUGUAUCUGAAAAAAAGGUGGCGCAGAGUCCAGUAUUUGGCCAAUGAAUUUUGGAUUCGUUGGAAAAAGGAAUAUCUGCUGAGUUUACAACAAAGACAAAAAUGGCAGAAAACCAGAAGAAACAUGAAGGUGAAUGACAUCGUGCUUUUACAGAACGAGCAGGCACCACGAAAUGAAUGGAAACUAGCCAGAAUAGCCGAGGUCUAUCCAGGGUUAGAUGAAAAAGUAAGAAAAGUAAGAUUGUUGGUUGGUGAUACCACAUUUAAUGGAAAGGGUAAACCUACGACUAAAACAGUGUUCCUUGACAGACCUGUACAUAAACUUGUUACAUUGAUUGAAGCAAAUGAAAGUAAUUAAGUCUGACCAGCCCCUAAGUUUCCUUAGAAAUCCCACACUGGGUUUUGUGUGAUUUGGUGGGAGUGUAACUGCAGUUGCUGUUUAUUUCUUCAUUUAUUUAUUUUCCCAUUUGUAAGACACUGGGUUAGUUGUGUUUCCUGUAAUUUUAUUUUGAAAAGCUACAUGAGCUGCUCUGCCAGCCACACCCUUGAUUUGAUGGAUACAAGCCAGGUGUGAGGAACACAGAACCUGGAUGAAGUGCUAACAAGCAGACAGCUAAUGGACUGCUAAAGAACUAACUAGUAAAAGGACUUAAAGGAAACUAGUAAAAGGACUUAAAGGAAGAUGGAUUCCCUUUGUGUUUUAAGCAAACAGCCAACGAGUUUCACGGUUUAAGAGAGGUCUAAAGAAAGGAGGACAGAAGAGGUCCACAAUGAAAAGACGUCCAAUAAACCCGUAAAAGAAAUCACUUGCGUCUGUGUUGCUUGGAGGGAAUCACAGUGUGUGAUAUUUUUCACCAGUUAACUAUCAAAUCUUGCGUUUCCAUUUCACAAACUUGUCCUUAUUCUCUAAUGUUUCUCACCAACUUCAAUUCUAAAUAUUCCUCUCAACUUGAAAUAAUACUUUUUUAAAUACAUAAACUGUGGUCGACGCUCCAUGGUCAUCCAACAUCUUAAAGUACAGUAGCUGUUUAGGGAUGUAUGAGCUCCCUUUGGACUAUGACUAUAACCUGAAAGAACCAGCAGAGGGCAGCAGUGCGCCCUGGAAGCAUGGAGCCUGCUAAUUCAACUAAGAAGUAGAAAAGAAUAGCUACUACACAGUUGCUGUACUUGUUAGUUUGAAUAAUAAACAAUUAAAUCAACAGCACAUAAAAUUUGUCAGUUCCUCAUCAUGUCCAACACAAGGAAGCCACAUAUGUUCAGACCCCCGCCCGCUGUUAGCUGGACGCCAGCCUCCGAUUAGUGUUUCUGACUCCCAAACUUACCUCAAGUUGUUCAUCCAUCUUUUCCUAGUACCAGAACUCCCGAUCCGAUCCCAGCGUGUCCGUUCCAAAGUAAUUCUACUCAAGUCUCCUUUCUUCCCGCAGCCUGCCAUCUGGCCCAACACGCUCGUCCACUAGCUAGUGGCUAAAUCAGCGUUGUUUACUUUAUCUCCACAACACUUUACUAAAGGCGACAUAGUUCUCCACGCGUUACUGAGAUUCAGAGGGCUUCUUCUCAAAUGUUACUUUUGGACUUUGGUCACCUUUUGUUGGUAAUCCGUGGGAGUUUACGAGCAGCAUGCACAGCUGUUCCCCGGCUUUAGGCAUGGCUAACUAGUAGCUUGGUGGCUUGUGACGCCGAUCUCCACCACGCCAGCCGUGAGCCACGAUUAGCUGCUGGAUAAUUCAGCAUUGUUUACGUGAUCUCCAGCGUGUCCCUGGCUCACCAACACUCCUUGACCAGCCGUGGUUAACGAUCAGCCAGUGAUCGCUCCAUAUCAUAUAAGCUGGUAGCAGCAGCCAGUUUGUUUACAUCGAUGCACCGUGAUCCAUGUGAAAUGGGUGUAAUUCCCCUGAAGCACGUUCAAAUAGUCUGGAAUUUCUUCGUCUCAGUCUACUUUGUCUUUACACAUCUGUUUGAGAACUUGUUUGCCUAGAAGGACAAAUGGUGCUAUGAACCCUAAAGGAUCAUAGAUUGAGGCGACAGUGGAAAGUACACCUCUUCUGGUCAACGGAUUAGCUUUGACUUGUACCCUGAACUUAAAUGUAUCCGAUGAAACACACCAUUCGACUCCAAGCGCUCUUUCAAUGUGAGGUAAACUAAGAGACAUGUCUUGGGUCUUAGUUGUUGCGCGUUCCUCUUCAGGAAUAGAUGCAAGUACUUGUUCACUGUUUGACACAAACUUAUGGAGUCUCAGUUUGCCCGUAGCACAUAAGUCUCUUGAGUCUUUCACAACCUGAAUAGCCUCCUUCUCUGUUGAGACGCUCGCCAGGCCGUCAUCGACAUAGAAAUUUCUUUGGAUGAAUCGAAUGACAUUCUCCUUGAACCGACCUUGUCCUUGCGCCGCAAGAUGUUUCAGGCCAAAAUUGGCGCAUCCAGGAGAUGAAGCUGCUCCGAACAAGUGGACCUUCUAUCUAUAGACCGAUGGUGUCGUGCUAGGGUCUCCUUGCUCCCACCAUAAGAAACGUAGGUAAUCUUGAUCUCCCUUUUCUACAAAAAACUGGUGGAACAUUCUCUCUAUAUCGCACAUUAAUGCGAUAGGACCGUUGCGAAAGCGACACAGCGCUCCCACCAAUGUGUUUGUUAAAUUGGGACCAGUCAACAGAUGGUCAUUCAGGGACGUCUCUUGGUACUUGGCCGAACAGUCGAAUACUAUUCGGAUUUUCCCUGGUUUGUGUGGAUGAUAGACCCCGUGGUGGGGAAUAUACCACGCGGGAUUGUUUAACUCUUGUUCCGGAACCCUUUCUGCGUCACCUCUGGAGAUCAUAUCGUCCAUGAACUUGACAUAAUCCUUGCAGUACUCUUUGUUUCGCCUUAGUCUUUUUCUCCAAACAUUUCAGACGGUACACUGCACAUAUUCUGUUGUCUGGUAGUUUAGGUCGUUCAUCACGAAAUGGCAGUGGCAUCUCAUAAUGUCCGUCGUCGUUCUGCUUGAUGGUUUCUUUAAGUUUAGAAAGAAACUUAAGAUCAUCUUGAGACACCUUCUUGUCAUCAACUCCUCUUUCUGGGAAGUCUAUCUCUAGUGCCUUAAUGAUCUCAGAAGGAGUGAUGUUUUUCACUUUAUUUCUGUUUACGUAAUGUAUCUUUGUCUGUAGAUCAACAGAAUGAUUAAGGUCUGGGACGACCCUUUUCACUAUGAUGCGAUGACUGAUGCCAAUAGCAUCUCCAAAGUUCAGGCAUUGGCUACCUUGUCCCACUAUACUCCAGCCGAGGUCUGUAUGCUGUGCGUAGGGUUCAUUUUCUUUGCCUGACACAACCUGUCUUUGAAGUAAUGCUUGCGAGCAGUUGUAUCCGAUUAACAGUCCUGCUUCACAUUCCUGCAGAGGAGCUAUCUCUGCUUGAAGAUGUUUCAGAUGCGCCCAAGCCCUCGCAGUCUCAUUUGACGGAAUAUGAUCUUUGUUAGCUGGAAUAAACUCUCGCGUGAAAGCAGGUGGCAAAGGAAUAGUCUUGUUUGAGUAAAACCCACAAACUUGUAGAUUCUUUACCUUUUGAGACUGAACGAUUGUAUUCUUUGACGUGAUAGUCGAUAACUCUAACUUGACUGAUUCUUUAGGAGUAUCCAGAGAUUCUGCGAUCUCACUGAGGACGAAGGUAGUAUCACUUUGAGAGUCUAGCAGAGCGUACGUCAGUAUUUCUCGUGUUGGUUCUGUAGAAGACGAGAGCCAAACAGGAACUAUUGCUGAAGUUUGUGUGUGACCUUCUUGACAGAUGACUCUGUUCGUUGUAGCCGUAGAUGUCGCUCCUUGAGUUUGAGGUUGCUUCCUUUGAGUUGGAUUUUUAUAACUUACAUCCGUCUCGUUUUGUUGUGGAAUUUGCUCUUGUUUGUUACGUUCUUCGUGCAAGCACGUAGGAUGUCCUUUGUUGCACUUUUCACAAAUACUUCGGUUGUUACAGCCCUUUGACUGGUGGCCAGGCUGGAGACAACCAAAGCACAAUCCCUCUGUUCUAAUAAACUUGACUCUGUCAGUCACAGCCUUUUCCAGAAAGCCUCUACAUCUCGUGAGCACAUGAUUGGGCCCUUUGCAGAACAUGCAGGUCACAACUGUCUGUUCUUGAGUAGUUGUAGUUAACGUUUUAACCUCAAUGUUUCUUUGUCUUGCAGGUUUCAACCUUUCUGGACUGUUGGACUCACUCUGCUUUAGUGACUGUAACGAUGUAAUAGGGUUACAGGCGAUUUUUGCUUCUCUUGUGAUGAAUGAAACAAACUGGCUGAAAUUGGGAAACCUAUGGGUUGCUUCCUCAAUUUCCGUAGCCGUACGAUUCCAGCUAGCUGUGAGCCAAUCUGGUAACGUGGUGAGGAUCUUUCGGUUCUCACUGCAGUCAUUCAAAAUCUCUAAUGACUUAAUAUGAAACAUGGCUGUUUUGCAGCUAUGUAAAAAGUCUGCAAAAUCUCUUAGCUGAAUGCUGUCUUUUGCUGAGAUUUUGGGCCAAGCUUGAAGCUUAUCUCUGUAGGCCUUUGCAAUUAUGAAUGGAUUACCGUAUCUUUCAUCAAGUAACUUCCAUGCAGCAACAUAAGCUGUUUCAGUUCCAAGCAGGAAGUAUCCAUCCAGUGCACUCUUUACUUGUCCACCCACAUAGCGGCGAAGAUAGAAUACUUUCUCCUGUUCUGGAAUGUUCUUCUGAUCAAUGAGCGUGUGGAAUGAGAGUUUCCAGUCACUGUAUCUUAGUGGAUCCCCAUUAAAGAUUGGUGGUUCUGGAACCGGUAUCCUGCUAGCAUUUAAUGCUCCUGCUAGCGCCUUAACAAGCUCUGCUGUAACAUUGUCUACAUUGUUUGUUGUAGCUUGGGUAACAAUGUGCCCUUGACGUAGCUCACGACUCGGCUGUCGGAGGGCUUCAUCCUUAGUGUUUGACAUGUCCACUAUGAUGUCCUCCGUUACACUGCUCUGAUCAUACACUUGCAUCCUCGCUUGAGCUGCACAUAGAUCUUUCACCUUCUCUAAGUGCUGUAACUUACGUUUUCUUUCAUCAAGAGACCGUUGCAGAGUUGCGUAUUCUUCUUCUUGUUUAGCCUUUAACUUUGCUUCAUUUUCUUCUAUUUGCAUUCUCAGUCUGAGUUCCUCUGCUUCUCCUUCCAGACGAAGCUUUUUACUUAAAGCUUCUUGCUCGGCUGCUUUUCUUUUUACUUCAGCUUCAAGCCUCUCAAUUUCUUUCUGUUCAAUUUCUUGCUCUUCUAGCACUCUUAGAACAGCUUGGCUUGCAGCUACUUCUGCAGCAGCUUCUUGGUGUCUUACAGACGAUUUACUGGAGCGUUCAGAAGCACGGGACUUUGAGAUAGUUGACUCAAAUAGAGAUCCCAUAUCUGGCCAUUCUUGUUCUUCUUCCUCUGGCCUUCCUUCAACAUUACUGUUAGCUUUGGAUACAAUAAACUUAGAUAUCUGUACACAGAGAUCCACCUUGCGCCGUGUUUCCUGAUCAGGAGGUGUGUUAAGACGUAACUCACUGAAUGCCCGCUGAACAUCUGCAGAAAGUCCUGUUACAUCACCAAUAAUGUCGUUAAGUAAAUCUUCAGUUAAGGAUUCUAAUUGUGAUAAGGAUCGUUUGGAUGCUUUGGCACAUACUCUCCACUUCUCAAAAAGGUAGUUGAAUUUCUGACGAAGGCUUUUAAUUUUUUCAUCCUGCAUUCCUUUUCCCUUUUCUGUGAGAGUCCUGACUCUUUGGCUC